CUACGGGCUGCUCCAGUGGGGAAUUUUGGACAAUGGGCGCAAGCCUGAUCCAGCCAUGCCGCGUGCGGGAAGAAGGCCUUCGGGUUGUAAACCGCUUUUGUCAGGGAAGAAACGCUCUGGGCUAAUACCCUGGGGUAAUGACGGUACCUGAAGAAUAAGCACCGGCUAACUACGUGCCAGCAGCCGCGGUAAUACGUAGGGUGCAAGCGUUAAUCGGAAUUACUGGGCGUAAAGCGUGCGCAGGCGGUUAUGCAAGACAGAUGUGAAAUCCCCGGGCUCAACCUGGGAACUGCAUUUGUGACUGCAUAGCUGGAGUGCGGCAGAGGGGGAUGGAAUUCCGCGUGUAGCAGUGAAAUGCGUAGAUAUGCGGAGGAACACCGAUGGCGAAGGCAAUCCCCUGGGCCUGCACUGACGCUCAUGCACGAAAGCGUGGGGAGCAAACAGGAUUAGAUACCCUUGUAGUC
rnacentral:rRNA from 1 species